rnacentral:rRNA from 1 species
UUGAACGCUGGCGGCAUGCCUUACACAUGCAAGUCGAACGGUAACAGGUCUUCGGAUGCUGACGAGUGGCGAACGGGUGAGUAAUACAUCGGAACGUGCCCGAGAGUGGGGGAUAGCCCGGCGAAAGCCGGAUUAAUACCGCAUACGACCUGAGGGUGAAAGGGGGGGAUCGCAAGACCUCUCGCAGUUGGAGCGGCCGAUGGCGGAUUAGCUAGUUGGUGGGGUAAAGGCCUACCAAGGCGACGAUCCGUAGCUGGUCUGAGAGGACGACCAGCCACACUGGAACUGAGACACGGUCCAGACUCCUACGGGAGGCAGCAGUGGGGAAUUUUGGACAAUGGGGGCAACCCUGAUCCAGCCAUUCCGCGUGAGUGAAGAAGGCCUUCGGGUUGUAAAGCUCUUUCGGCAGGAACGAAACGGUGGAGGCUAAUACCUUUCAUCAAUGACGGUACCUGAAGAAGAAGCACCGGCUAACUACGU